rnacentral:rRNA from 1 species
CCUACGGGAGGCAGCAGUGAGGAAUAUUGGUCAAUGGGCGCGAGCCUGAACCAGCCAAGUAGCGUGAAGGAUGACUGCCCUACGGGUUGUAAACUUCUUUUAUAAAGGAAUAAAGUGAGGCACGUGUGCCUUUUUGUCUGUACUUUAUGCAUAAGGAUCGGCUAACUCCGUGCCAGCAGCCGCGGUAAUACGGAGGAUCCGAGCGUUAUCCGGAUUUAUUUGGUUUAAAGGGAGCGGAGAUGGGUUGUUAAGUCAGUUGUGAAAGUUUGCGGCUCAACCGGAAAAUUGCAAUUGAUACUGGCAGCCUUGAGUACAGAUGAGGUAGGUGGAAUUCGUGGUGUAGCGGUGAAAUGCUUAGAUAUCACGAAGAACUCCGAUUGCGAAGGCAGCCUACUAAACUGCCACUGACAUUGAUGCUCGAAAGUGUGGGUAUCAAACAGGAUUAGAUACCCGGGUAGUC